AUGGGGAGAGCUCGGCAGCUCCGGCGACUGGGGGGCGGUGGGUUGGGGAGAGGAGGAGGAGGAUGGAGAAAGAAGAAGGGGGGGAGGGAAGGAGGGAGGGCGAGGGAGGGGGGGGGGGGGGGGGGAGGGGAAAGAGGGGGAGAAAAAAAAAAAAAAAAAAAAGGAGAAAAGGGUAAAAAAAAAAUAGAAAAGGCAGAAGCAAAAGCUCCGCGCCGCCGCCGCGCUGCUGCGGGAGCGGCUGAUUCGCUGCCGGGCUCGGAGAUUGGCUCCGGGUUUCCAUGGCGGGGCUGCCACUCACGGCCCCGCGCUGCCAAUCACCGGCAGCCCGGCCCCGGCGCCUCCUUCCCCGGCACCGACGGCAACCGGGGCCCCGGGCCGCCCGGAGAGGGUCCCCGUCCCGCUGCCCUGCGCCCCGACCCGCUGCCCGGGGCACCAUCCCUCUCCCUGUACUCCCCAUCCCUCUCUCCAUGUCGCCAUCCCUCUCCCCGGGUCCCCAUCUCCAUCCCUCUGAUCCCAUCCCUCUUCCUACGUCCCCAUCCUUCUCCCUGUGUCCCCAUCCCUCUCCCCAUGUCCCCAUAUCUCUCCCCAUAUCCCCAUCCCUCUUCCCAUAUCCCCAUCCCUCUCCCCAUAUCCCCAUCCCUCUCCCUCUGUCCCUAUCCCUUUCCCAGUGUCCCCAUCCCUCUCCCCAUAUCCCCAUCCCUCUCCCUAUAUCCCCCUACUCUCUCCCCAUGCCCCCAUCCCUCUCCCCAUGUCCCCAUCGCUCUCCCCGUGUCCCCAUCCCUCUCCCCGUCCUCCCCGUCCCGCAGCCCCCAUCCCACACCGCCCUUCCCGUCCCGACCGGAGGGAGAGGCUCAAAAGGGGUCGACGAUGGGGACCCCCGGGGCUCGGGGCGCUGUGGGGUCGGACCGGGGGGGAAGGCAGGGCCGACGAACCGGACCCAAAUCGGCUUUUAGGGUCGCACCGGUGCGGCGGGGAGUGCCAGGGACAAUGGAUGCAGACGGAGGGCUCCGGGAAGAGCCGAGGUUUACGGGAAAACUCCCCCCCCGUCUCCCUAUAAGCGAGACGAGGAAUUCAUCGCCUCUCUGUUCUCCCACAUCUUUAUGA
rnacentral:lncRNA from 1 species